rnacentral:rRNA from 1 species
GAUGAACGCUAGCGGGAGGCCUAACACAUGCAAGCCGAGCGGUAUUUGUUCUUCGGAACAGAGAGAGCGGCGCACUGGUGCGGAACACGGUUGCAACCUGCCUUUAUCUGGGGGAUAGCCGUUCGAAAGGAAGAUCAAUACCCAAUAAUAUAUUGAGUGGCAUCACUUGAUAUUGAAAACUCAGGGGGAUAGAGAUCGGCACGCGCAAGAUUGGAUAGUUGGUGAGGUAACGGCUCACCAAGUCAAUGAUCUUUAGGGGGGCUGAGAGUGUGAGCCCCCAGACUGGUACUGAGGCACGGACCAGAAUCGUAGGGGAGGCAGCAGUGAGGAAUAUUGGGGAAUGGGUUAGGACCUGAUCCAGCCAUGCCGCGUGAAGGACGACGGCCGUAUGGGUUGUAAUCCUCUUUUGUAUAGGGAUGAACAUACUAUAGCGAGAGUAGCUGAAGGUACUAUACGAAUAAGCACCGGCUAACUCCGUG